UGAUUUGGUGAGUUUUUAGGGAAGAACUAGUUAUUUGUUGAGGAAUUAUUAUGUAUUCAAGUGUUGUUAUGAAGGUUACGAGAGGUAUGUAUGGCUAGGCUUCGUAUUGUUACAGGUU